rnacentral:lncRNA from 1 species
CUGCAGAAUGAUUUCCAUCAGAUUGCACGAUGUGGAUGGUCUGCUGAGAACGCUCACUUCAGACCAGAUGUUCAUCCGUCUUUAUUUUUUACAUCCACAAGAAGAGGAAAACAUUGGUAAGGAAAGGCAAGGGAGGGUGAAACAAGAGGGCUUGCUCCUUGGCCUCCUUCAGUAAAAUGUCCCAGAUCUAAAGGCUGCUGCUUCAUCUCCUGUGAUACACCAUGCUGAACACUGUGACACUGUGCCUCACUCCUGGUGGAGGAUGUGGGAUCUUCCAUCAAGGGCUCCCCUUGGAAUUUUCCUUUUACCCCUGCUCUUGGCAUGGCUGGAUCCCUCACAACUUCAGGGUCCCAGCUUAAAUACUCUUUCCUCGGGGAGGCCUUCCCCACCUACUCUAUUUAAAGAAGGGCCCAUCUUUCCUGUUGCUCCCCAGCUCAGCACCUUGCUUGCAUCUUUCAUAAUAUUGGCCACAAUUUCUCAUUGGUCAACCCGUCUGUUUGAUUUUUUUUUUUCUGUCUGUCUCUCUCACUAGACAAAGUACAAAGGGGCAGGGAUCGUGUCUGUCUUAUUUAUCGUGGUAUCCCCUCAGCUCUGAGCCAGCUACCACAGUACCUUGUAAAUGCCUAGUCAAUAUCAGUGGAAUAAAUGAUUAGGUGUUAACCUCAAUUGUCCAGCACUGGGGUUCAAUUCAUGUCCAAUAUUUCAGACUUAGCAUAGUGAAACUUCCAACAAGCCUGUUUUUAGUUCCUGUUGGUUGAGGUGAGAGUCAGGUAACUGUUUACAAAAUGGCUGUAAUGCACAUCAGACUCCAAAUGAACAAGUGGUGAGAAUUGGAGCCUGAUGUCCCAGCUGAAGCCCUGUUUCAUUUGGCAGGAGAACCAACACAUCCAGAGAAAUGAGGCAAUGAUGUUGAGUGGAUAGCAUAGGCCUGCUGCACCAUUCAUCAUGUGAAACCUAUUGAAAAGCAAACCACUUUGUAGGGGCCCACCAAAUAGUCAGAGGUUUCUGAUCCUUGGCACUUAAAGGCCUCCUAUUGUCUG